GAUGAACGCUGGCGGCGUGCCUAAUACAUGCAAGUCGAGCGAACAGACGAGGAGCUUGCUUCUCUUACGUUAGCGGCGGACGGGUGAGUAACACGUGGAUAACCUACCUAUAAGACUGGGAUAACUUCGGGAAACCGGAGCUAAUACCGGAUAAUAUAUUGAACCGCAUGGUUCAAUAGUGAAAGACGGUUUUGCUGUCACUUAUAGAUGGAUCCGCGCCGCAUUAGCUAGUUGGUAAGGUAACGGCUUACCAAGGCAACGAUGCGUAGCCGACCUGAGAGGGUGAUCGGCCACACUGGAACUGAGACACGGUCCAGACUCCUACGGGAGGCAGCAGUAGGGAAUAUUCCGCAAUGGGCGAAAGCUUGACGGAGCAACGCCGCGUGAGUGAUGAAGGUCUUCGGAUCGUAAAACUCUGUUAUUAGGGAAGAACAAAUGUGUAAGUAACUAUGCACGUCUUGACGGUACCUAAUCAGAAAGCCACGGCUAACUACGUG
rnacentral:rRNA from 1 species